rnacentral:rRNA from 1 species
UACAGAGGUCUCAAGCGUUGUUCGGAUUCAUUGGGCGUAAAGGGUGCGUAGGCGGCCGGGUAAGUCUGAUGUGAAAUCUCACAGCUUAACUGUGAAACUGCAUUGGAUACUAUCCGGCUAGAGGAAUGGAGGGGAGACUGGAAUACUUGGUGUAGCAGUGAAAUGCGUAGAUAUCAAGUGGAACACCAGUGGCGAAGGCGGAUCUCUGGACAAAUCCUGACGCUGAGGCGACGAAGGCUAGGGGAGCAAACGGG